AGGGUACGUUUUCUCUCUUCUCUCUCUUCGUUCAUUCCGCCGCUCGAACGCUGUUCUCUCUCUUUCGAUUCCUCUUCAUUUUCGACUGUUUUUCAGUGUUCUUCUCGUUUAUACUCACUGAUUUACGGAGCAAUCUUGUGUUCAUCGUUGGGUCAUGUGAUAUUCGUGGUUGUUGUUACUGAUUCUGUGGUGUACGAAGGGAUUCUUCGGAUUUCGUCGUCUGUUGCCGUGGUCGUCGUUGAUUUGCAACCCCGGUUUCAAGUUAUUAGGUUUUCGUCAAUAUUCAAGGAUGUCGAAGAGGAUAACUCGAUCAUCUGCUGAAACUAGUGAAGCAGAAAGGUAAUACAAGUUUGUGACCCAAAAUAAGUAUAGAUUUUCUAUCACAAAUGUAUUACUUAUUCUAUAUUAAAGUAAAUAUUAAUGUAUUGCUUUUUAUAUUUAAAAUAUGUUGAAUAGUGAAGAAGAGAAAAACAAAGAAAUCUGAUCCAGAAGUUGCUGAUGGAAAAAGGUAUUUAAUUUCAUUUUUUAAUCAAUGUAUUAUGUAUUAAUUAUUUAUAGGCUUAUUUUGACUGAUAUUUCUUAUUUCAUAAUA